rnacentral:rRNA from 1 species
GACGAACGCUGGCGGCGUGCUUAACACAUGCAAGUCGAACGGAAAGGCCCUGCUUUUGUGGGGUGCUCGAGUGGCGAACGGGUGAGUAACAAGUGAGUAACCUGCCCUUGACUUUGGGGUAACUUCAGGAAACUGGGGCUAAUACCGGAUAGGAGCUCCUGCUGCAUGGUGGGGGGUGGAAAGUUUCGGCGGUUGGGGAUGGACUCGCGGCUUAUCAGCUUGUUGGUGGGGUAGUGGCUUACCAAGGCUUUGACGGGUAGCCGGCCUGAGAGGGUGACCGGCCACAUUGGGACUGAGAUACGGCCCAGACUCCUACGGGAGGCAGCAGUGGGGAAUAUUGCACAAUGGGCGGAAGCCUGAUGCAGCAACGCCGCGUGCGGGAUGACGGCCUUCGGGUUGUAAACCGCUUUCGCCUGUGACGAAGCGUGAGUGACGGUAAUGGGUAAAGAAGCACCGGCUAACUACGUG